GGUGGGGGCCCUUGAUGCUUUGUUUCUUCUCCCUGGCCCUUCCUGCUGUAGGGAAGAACAGAAGAGCAGCCAUUAGUAAAAAUGAUAAAAGAAGAGUGCUUCUGACUCAGAAGUGACUGCCCGUGUAACGCCAGCUCUGUCCCCUGUGACUCUGAUUCAACAAUUCUCUGAUCCCCAUGUUCAUUUUAGAGACAAAGGGGAAGACAGGGCUCUGUAGUGAGUACUGGGAGGGAAGAGAAAACAGCCUGGAAGGGGCUGGAGGAAGCAGAGUGUAAGGAGCAGCUGCAGCCUUUAGAAGGAAAGUCAGGGAGAAGAAAAGAGGUGAACGUUUCAGCCAAUAACGGAGCAUGUGGAGGUGGGGGUCAAGGGGGACAGCGAGGACAGGUGCAGUGAGGCUAUGGGCAGCCAGUAAAAGAGAAGAGACCAUGGGGAGAUUGGAGCAAGGCAAGAAGCAAAGAUUCCCCAAGAGGAGAAAGAAGCAGGGGAAAGGGAGCCGAGGCACAGAGGGACCUCAUCAGCUAUCUUGGUGCGAGGUGCGAGGUGAAACAUUGCAGUAAAUAAAAGCCAAAAGUAAUGUUGAUUUUACAGUAUUUGCAAACCAUCUGCUUUAAACAGCCCACCAACUUCAUCCAUUUGUCAGGUUCUGUGGGAGGACCAUCCCUAGUUAAGACAGAGACAAAUGAUUUGGUUCUGGUCUAGAUCUUGUGCCUGGAAACACUUUGCAAGAAGGCAGUAACAAAGCGGUGUCCUUCUUUUGCCAGGCUGUCUUCGGUGUCUGUGUGGCACAGCCCUCAAGCGCAUGGUUCAAUCCAAAAGGACACAGAAGAGUCACCCAAGCCACCAUGGAGAACAGGACUCUGAGGAACCAAGCUAACAAGAUGAAGACCAAACUGUUCACCCUAAGUGGGACAGGGUGGAAGCUCAACUCUCCUUACCCUCUGCUGCUGCCCAGGUGGUGAAGAGCAGCACAUGAAGGGUUGCUCCCUCGCCCCCCCACCCCUACCCCAAUUUCUGCCUGUCAGCAUCUCAGGCGGCAACGGUGUGUCCACCCAGUGCCUCUCACCAGCCACACAACCAGCAGCCAGCACAAUGCCUCUGAUUUUGGCAGCAAUGGUUUUAGUGACUUCGGGGCAGGGAACUUCCAGAGAAAAACCAGUUCCUGUUGGACCAGUUAGGUUCUCCUAACUGCUUGCCAAGGCUCACUGCGUGUCAAAUAUCUGGCACUGCCCACCCACUUUAAGACAGCCUCAGAAUGAUCUAAAGUGGCUGCUUCUCAAAUUUUCAAGUACCUAUGAAUUGCCUGGGGAUCAUGCUAAAAACUGCAGCUGCUGACUCCAUCCUGCAUUUCUAACCAGCUCCCAAGUGCUGUUGUUGGGCUCACACCAGGAACAGCAAGAGCAAAGAACAUGACAGUGAGAUAAACAGCUACACAUGUCUAAUUGGAUUCCUUUUCUGGGGAUAUUCAGUCAUUCUUCUGUUGCUAACAAAGAAAUCACUUUGGCUUGGGACAGAUAUGAUUCAGAACUGCCUUCAUGACAUCAUUUAUACUUGGCAGCCCCAGUGACUUCUUUCUGCAUCUUCAUCUCCAUCAGGAAUCAAAACCUUUUUUAGUUACAGGCAUUCAGACAAAACACAAGCAGGAAUUUCCCAAUAGUGAUGACGUAUUUUGAACAUGAACAGAGGUUACAGGAGAAGUUGUGAAAGCUUUCUCAGGAAAUCUUUAAUCUAAAAUUGAGGCCCAUCACGUGGGUCUGUAAGUGAGUCAAGUGUAGACAUGUCCACGACAUCUCUGCUAAUCCACCAGGCACCGUGGCACCUGCCUAUAGUCCCAGCUACUCAGAAAAUUGAGGCAGGAAACCACCUCACCCCAAGAGUUCAAGGCCAGCCUUGGGAAAAUAGCCAAAUCCCAUCUCAAGAGAAAAAAAUAAACAAAAGAUCUCUCCUAACCCAAAGCAAAACAACCCACACCAGGAACAGAUUGGCACAAUCAAAUAUUUGCUAGUCGUUUUGUCUAAAAGCAACAUGUCUAUCUGUCUAUACUACAGCAUGGGGUGUGAGGAAAAUCUAUAUUGUCUCAAUUAAAAAAAAAAAUUCUCAGGUUCUUCCAUUUCAUCAUCACAGCCGUGCCACCCUCAAGACACUCUCAGGCAAUUGUGCUGUCCUCCAUACUUUCCCUGUCUUCCCUGUUGUCCUCAGUACGUUCUCCAUACACACACACCGGGGGGUCUUUCUACAAAUAAAUCUGAUAAUGCCACUAUCCUUCCCGUUGCAUUUUGCCUCAAACCCUAAGUCCUAGAGCUCCUGUGGGGUCUGAUCCCAGCUGGGAUCUCUCUCCAGUUUCCACUUGUGCCUGUCCCCACUUUGCUGUCAUAGCCCUGCCCUACUGUCCUCCUUUCAACCUCCAGAUGGACAAGCGUUUGUCCCUGCAUCUUCCACACCUGCACAUUCCUCUGUCUGGAAUGCACAGCCUCUGUUCUUCACCUGCUAACUCGAGUUCAGGUCCGGUUGUACAUGUCACCUCUUCACACAGUCCCUCUCUGACCCUUAAUCUAAAAUAACCCCUCUUAGUAGACUGGCUCACCAAUCUCAUGCUUUUGCUGAAUGGCACACACACUGAUGGUGGCGCUAAACUGAGUCAUAUGAUUAUCAGACUAUACGUGCCAUGGGGCAGGGAUUGUUGUGUUUUGUAAACCAUUGUCUGACCAGCAUCUCACAUGAUACAUGUCGAUAAAUACAUGUUUAAUGAAUAAACAGUGAAGCCUGCCUCAACUCAUCUAUUCAUUCACUCUGUAUUCAAAUGUCUUGGGCUUUACAGACCCACAGAUAUAAACAUGGUGAUAUUAAUGAAGGGUCCAUGUUGUAGUUGCGUUAGCCACUGCCUUCCAAUUCUCCUCUAGUUCUUCU
ensembl:lncRNA